UACGGAGGGUGCAAGCGUUAUCCGGAUUUACUGGGUUUAAAGGGAGCGCAGGCGGAUUAGUAAGUCAGUGGUGAAAGCCUUGAGCUUAACUCGAGAACUGCCAUUGAUACUAUUAGUCUUGAAUGUUGUUGAGGUUUGCGGAAUGGGUCAUGUAGCGGUGAAAUGCAUAGAUAUGACAUAGAACACCAAUUGCGAAGGCAGCUUACUACGGGGUUAUUGACACUGAGGCACGAAAGCGUGGGGAUCAAACAGG
rnacentral:rRNA from 1 species